UACGAAGGGGGCUAGCGUUGUUCGGAAUUACUGGGCAUAAAGGGCGCGUAGGCGGCCACCGCAAGUCGACUGUGAAAUCUCCGGGCUUAACCCGGAAAGGUCAGCCGAUACUGCGGGGCUAGAGUGCAGAAGGGGCAACUGGAAUUCUCGGUGUAGCGGUGAAAUGCGUAGAUAUCGUAAGGAAGACCAGUGGCGAAGGCGGCCCCCUGGGCCGAACCUGACGCUGAGGCGCGAAGGCUAGGGGAGCGAACGGG
rnacentral:rRNA from 1 species